rnacentral:rRNA from 1 species
UGGGGAAUAUUGGACAAUGGGCGCAAGCCUGAUCCAGCCAUGCCGCGUGUGUGAAGAAGGCCUUUUGGUUGUAAAGCACUUUAAGCGCGUAGGCGGCUACUUGGAUUAAUACUCUAGGAUAGUGGACGUUACUCGCAGAAUAAGCACCGGCUAACUCUGUGCCAGCAGCCGCGGUAAUACAGAGGGUGCGAGCGUUAAUCGGAUUUACUGGGCGUAAAGCGUGCGUAGGCGGCUUCUUAAGUCGGAUGUGAAAUCCCUGAGCUUAACUGAGGAAUUGCAGUCGAUACUGGGAAGCUAGAGUAUGGGAGAGGAUGGUAGAAUUCCAGGUGUAGCGGUGAAAUGCGUAGAGAUCUGGAGGAAUACCGAUGGCGAAGGCAGCCAUCUGGCCUAAUACUGACGCUGAGGUACGAAAGCGUGGGGAGCAAACAGG